rnacentral:piRNA from 1 species
UUGAAACAGGAAGAUGGUCUUAAUAGGUUUA